UUCCUAAUGUUCAGCUGAAACCUCUUUUUCUGUAAUUUGAAUCCAUUGGUUUCGGUCCUACCCUCUGGAGCAGCAGAAAACGAAUUUGCUCCAUCUUCCACAUGACAGCCCUUGAGAUAUUUGAAGAUGGCUAUCAUAUCUCCUCUCAGUCUCCUCUUUUCCAGGCUAAACAUACCCAACUCCCUCAA